CCUACGGGAGGCAGCAGUGAGGAAUAUUGGACAAUGGGCGCAAGCCUGAUCCAGCCAUGCCGCGUGCAGGAAGAAGCAUCUAUGGUGUGUAAACUGCUUUUGUACAGGAAGAAACACUCCCUCGUGAGGGAGCUUGACGGUACUGUAAGAAUAAGGACCGGCUAACUCCGUGCCAGCAGCCGCGGUAAUACGGAGGGUCCGAGCGUUAUCCGGAAUCAUUGGGUUUAAAGGGUCCGUAGGCGGUUUAAUAAGUCAGUGGUGAAAUCUGGUCGCUCAACGAUCAAACGGCCAUUGAUACUGUUAGACUUGAAUUAUAAGGAAGUAACUAGAAUAUGUAGUGUAGCGGUGAAAUGCUUAGAUAUUACAUGGAAUACCAAUUGCGAAGGCAGGUUACUACUUAUGGAUUGACGCUGAUGGACGAAAGCGUGGGGAGCGAACAGGAUUAGAUACCCUGGUAGUCCACGCCGUAAACGAUGGAUACUAGCUGUUCGGAGCAAUCUGAGUGGCUAAGCGAAAGUGAUAAGUAUCCCACCUGGGGAGUACGUUCGCAGAAUGAAACUNAAAUGAAAUUGACCGGNUGAGACGAGCGAGACGACGACGAGGGAGGAGG
rnacentral:rRNA from 1 species